CGGGGCCGUCGCCGACGCCGCCUGGCCCGUUUUGGCACUAGCACAUUUUUGCUUUGAUUUGUAGCUUUUGAGCAAUUAUGUGUAGUGCCAAUAUGGGAGAGGGCGGAGAGAGCAGCGCCGGGCU
rnacentral:pre_miRNA from 12 species